CACGUAGGCUCCAAGCGUUGUCCGGAUUUAUUGGGCGUAAAGAGCUCGUAGGCGGUUCGGUAAGUCGGAUGUGAAAACUUUGGGCUCAACCCAAAGCGUGCAUUCGAUACUGCCGUGACUUGAGUUCGGUAGGGGAGUGGGGAAUUCCUAGUGUAGCGGUGAAAUGCGCAGAUAUUAGGAGGAACACCGGUGGCGAAGGCGCCACUCUGGGCCGAAACUGACGCUGAGGAGCGAAAGCGUGGGUAGCAAACAGG
rnacentral:rRNA from 1 species